CAGUAGCCACGGUAAUACGAAGGGUGCAAGCGUUACUAGGAAUUACUGGGCGUAAAGCGUGCGUAGGUGGUGGUUUAAGUCCGUUGUGAAAGCCCUGGGCUCAACCUGGGAAUUGCAGUGGAUACUGGGUCACUAGAGUGUGGUAGAGGAUAGUGGAAUUUCCGGUGUAGCAGUGAAAUGCGUAGAUAUAGGAAGGAACACCAGUGGCGAAGGCGACCACCUGGACUGAUACUGACACUGAGGUGCGAAAGCGUGGGGAGCAAACAGGAUUAGAUACCCCCGUAGUCCCUGUCUCUUAUAA
rnacentral:rRNA from 1 species